GGUCUCUGUCCUUGCUUCAUCUCGAUUUAGUCCCGUUUUUUCUCUUAAUACGAAACCCAAACAAUAGGACCAUUUAUCAUUUAGGAGAUGGGAAGAGCA